rnacentral:sRNA from 1 species
UUUGAUUCAUUAAGCAACUUUGAAGGGGUUUCUGGGUAUUUCUUUGUUACUUGGAUGAAAAAGACCCCAAAUCUUAAGAAUCAGCCCAGCAAGAGUGAAGCAAGAAGCAAAAUAUUAAUUAUGAUUUGGAAAAAGAAACAAACAAUAUGUCAGUGUGAUGAUAGAAUAAUCUGCCAAUAAUUGCUACAAGACCAUCUAUACAUCCAUGUAACCCUAUUAUCUGAUGGAAGAACUGCUCCUUGUCUCACUAUCCAGUACUAGCUAGGACACCACGAAGAGCGACCCUAAAAUCAAUGUCAUCUUCAAUGUCAUCUUCUCUAAAACUACCGGUUCCAAUAGUACGACCCUGCAUUAGUUUGACCAUAAGGUGGAGAUUGGAGUAGGCUAGCCCCAGUUUGUUCAGUUUAUCAGGAGAUUUCCCAUUAUCUCCUCAUUGUUAUGAGAGGCUUGACAAGAGACAAACAAUUACAUUACAGUUUUAUGAUGACCAAGAGUUCAACAAGCCAUAAAUGGGCCAUCCGAAUUAAUAAAUAAACUGGCCCUUGGUCACUAUGCUGAUAGAGGGACUACUGGUCAUGUUGGCCAAUCACAUGUUCUAAAUACGGCCAAAUUAUCGUGAUUAUGUUUGAGAAUUUUGCUCUCAAGUGUCCUGAGUUUGAUAAGGCAAAUGAGGGAUUUAGUUAUUUUUCAAGGUUUCCAUUAUCUAGACACCUAAAUAAGAUAUUUUAAAUACUAACUUUAACUUUUUUCAGAUUUGAAACAUAAAAAAUAAGGUUAUCUCAUAUGCCACUGGCCUCAUAUUGCUGACAUCAAAAUUAAUGCGUGUUAUUCUAAAAAUGACACAGUAUUUCCCUCUGUCACAAUUCAAAAUUUCAAAGAGAUUAAUUACAUUCAGUAUAUACCUUCAAGUGAUAAAUUUGUAAUAGUCAAAAAGCUGGUACACUGUCAUGUAUAGAACCAGUUUAUGUUGUACAACAGGAAUUAAAUAUACAUGUAAUACAUGUUUGUCUAUUUAUCUCUAUCAUCCAAUCAAACAAGAUACUAAACAAUGACUAAAUUACCGGUAGUUUACAUUAAUCUUUUUCAUCUGCCACAUAAUGGUUGUUCAUUGUAUGUCUGAUAUUGUUUGAUUAAUAUUUUUAAAAGUUCAUCCUCAAGGUACAAUUCUGAUUAUGUUUCAGUUCUCAAUAAUAAAAACAUUUUCAAAUGCC